AUGUGGAAAUGCUUACACAAUGCAAUCCCGUGUUACAGUGUUCUCGCAAAUCGUCAUAUAGGCAGUAGGUCACACUGCCCACACUGUACAGAAGGAGCAGAAGAUGUUCGUCAUGCGAUGUUUACUUGCAACAGAGGUCGGGCAGUCUGGACUGCGUUGGGACUUGAUUCCUUGGUUUCAGGAGCUAGUACCAAUCGGACUGGGGCAGGUACACUCGAGCUUCUUCUUUGCGAUGAUGAACAUCAGGGUGUGUACACAGAUGGAGUUUACUUGCCCGAGGUUGUAGCGGCGACCUGUUGGUAUCUAUGGUGGCAGCGCAGAUAAUUUGUUCGCGGAGAAACAAUCCUAAAUCCUCAGCGGACGGCGAUGGCGAUCCAAGCUGUAACUCUGAACUUUGUCCGUGCUGCUGGGAAAACGAAGAGCUCCCGCAGACUGAAUAAGUGGCCGGUGGUUCUUGCAAAUUAG
rnacentral:rRNA from 1 species